UGCAGCAGUAGGCAACCUGUCCUUAAAAAGUAUGGGUCCUCAAAACAGCACUUGUUGCACAAAUAAGUGUAGAUGGCCUCUUCAAGAAAUUGAAAUUAUGUAUGGUCACUUUUUCUUAUUGUUUCACAUGGAGGUCUACUGACCUUGUCUAAAUAAUGUAGGCUAGUUUAUGUCCAUGUAUUAUAUUAGGACCCAAGGUUAAUGGGUUAUUCUAUUUACCAUGUUUUCACAGGCUGCUGUCUCAUAAUAUGGCGAAGACGAGUCACCUGAAGGCCUAACUCGCCAUAGAAGACUGAAAGAAUUGUCCUGCAGGAUGCUGUGUCCUGCAAUCCUGUGUGCUGUGCUACAGACGCGUGUGGAGGUCAACCCAAAGUGGGCACAGUCUCACCACAGAAGAGUGAAAGAGGAUCCUGGCAGGGAGACGGUAGUGUCCUGCAGAAUGGUGAUGGGCCAAUCUUACAAGAGACCACAGAAAACUGAUAUAGUGAACUAUAGAAACAACAGAGUGCCUGCUGCAGUAUGACGAGGACACCCUGAGCAGAGAGCUCCAAUAGACCCAGGUCCAGUGUCUUGGCAGGGUGAAAUGGCACUGAUAUGGUGUCCUGCAGGAUGCUGUGUCCUGCAAUCCUGUGUGCUGUGCUACAGACGCGUCUGGAAGCCAACCUGAAAUAAGCACAGUCUCUCCACAGAGGAGUGAAAGAGGCUCCCAGAAGUGAGACUGAGUGCCUGUUGCAGUAUGACGAGGACACAGUGACCAGAGACCUUCAGUAGACCCUUCUGGCAUGAUUGGCGGCUGAAGAACAUGAAAUCAACAGCAAUGUUUAUAAUGUUGUACAUACCUGUAUAGUCUGUAUUAAAAGGCAGUACCUGUA